GGAUGGGCCGGGAGAGGCAGGGAGACUCAGCAGGCCCUGUCUCUAAGGAUUCUGGGACUAGUUGAGGGAGGAUGAGUUGGCAAGCACUGAUUCACAGGAGUGCUGGUAGGUGAGGUCUGAGGCGGGUGCUGUCCCUUCCAUCAGGGGACAAGAGAAGGCUUUGGACACUCAGGGACGUUGACAAGAGCCGAGGAAGCAUUGUAUUCACAUCCCCAUGGAAGAGGCCUGGGCAAACUGCUCCCGUCUCAGGAUCCUCAUACACCAUGUUCUUCUGGACCAGACAUUGGCAGACCACCUCCUUUGCAUGCAGUGGACCACCAGCAGAUGAGAGACAUAUAGCAAAGAAGAAGCGUGCUUGACCGAACCUAAACGAGAACCUGUGGACCUUGGGGGAUCUUGAGGUCACAGCUCACUCAGACCAGUGCUGAUGCCUUGACCUCCUCUGCCCUAUCCUUCACCCGAAGAGUCCCUGGGGCGAACAGCAAAGCCUCAAUCAGAAGCCGUAGACCCGGCCUGUGAAUCGAGAAGAUUCUGCCCAUGCCACUCUCCCUUAUGUCUCUUCUCUCUAGGCCAGACUGCCUCAGACUGAUGUGCUUGCCAAGUUAGUGUUUCACCAGUGGGGAUAAAGUGCAUGGCUUUGGAACACA